CUGGGCUGGGAUCAGGCAGCAUCUCAGAGCAAAGAGCAGCAGAAGGGGAUGGAAGAACAGCCCCCUCUCUCUCUCUCUCUCUCUCCUCCUGUGGGGUGGAGGUGCCAGGCACAGCCAGGGGAUGGAAGAACAGCCCCCUCCUCAUCCUGCCACCCCGAGCACCAGACUUGCCCUUGCUUUCAUACUGCACACCUCUCCUGUCCCUUUGAAAGGAAUCCUGAGGGCAUUCUAAAGCAGGAAGAGUUUGUGGAGUGAGUUGGUGAGUAUAAAUAGCUCUGAAGCAGAGCAGCACC
rnacentral:lncRNA from 1 species